UUAUCGCUGGGGCAGGUACUCCUGCUUCAGCGUCCAUCUGGUGUGUUUCAAUUGUUUUCCAGGAACUGUGCAAAAUGUUCAAAAUCUUGUGGUUGGUGUUUGCCGCUUUAAUGGCCAUGGCAAUGGCAGCUCCUUCGCCGGUAGCCAGUCCUGAUCCUGCUCCGGAGCCUCAGGUCUUCUACAGUGGAUAUCCUGCCGUCUAUGGCUAUGCCUAUCCUGCAGUGUACUACGGUUGAUUUGCGUUGAUUUCGUCGAGAAUUCGAUUUGUUAAAAUUUAAAUUGUAGUGCUUUGGGCGGAUUAAUGAACUUGAUAUUGUGGCCUUAGGUUGUUGGUUUUUAUACCUUCUCAACGUUUUUUUGUUUUCAUGUAAAUUUCAUUUAAGUAAAUGCAUUAAAGAAAACUAUUUUUUAUUCCGUUCUAAUUUA
rnacentral:sRNA from 1 species